AGGAGGUGGCGGCGGGGGUCCGUCGUGCCUGCGUGCUGGUGUGCCGGCUCACCCUGAGGGCUUCAAAAUACACCUCUAGCCCUUGAGUCAGCUGCUUCUCUGGUUCAGGUGCUCUUCUGGUUUAGAAACCUUCCUAAGCAGGGUGCUUAGGCACAUUCUGCGGGCUUGAGGUCCAUGCAGUCGCUCGGACUCUGUAAUAUCGUUGUUUAAAGACAUAAAAAACUGUGAAAUAUUGUCAGUUUGGAGAGCUGUGCUGUCAGCUUGCCUCUCCUUUAUCCCUUUUCCUACUGCUGUCAGCUUCACCGGUAUACAGCCAGUGCCUGAGUAAAAUGCAUGAAGAUGCAGUGGUACUCAACUUUGUUGAAUCAAGAACACGCUUGUGGAAAAAAAGCCCUUUGCUCACCAGGGACAGCUGUGGUGGCUCACUGUAGAAGCUCCAGUCUCCCCCAGAACCAGAAAAUCAUAGAAUCAUUAAGAUUGGAAGAGACUUCUAAGAUCAUCUAGUCCAACCAUCAGCCCAUCACCACCAUGCCCACUAACCACGUCCCUCAGUGCACUAUCUUUGAAGAGCUGCAGGGUCUGACUGUGGAUAGCAGGGAGUAGUUUUGGACAUCCUUUGGCUGUGUGUGUUCUACAGUGGAGUUGGUCUCUUCUUACUGGUGACAGGAUGAGGGGAAAUGGCCUCAAGUUUAGGUUGGAUAUCAGGAAACACUUCUUUACAGAAAGGGUUGUUAAGCACUGGAAUAGGCUCCCCAGGGUGGUGGUUGAGUCACCAUCCCUGGAUGUGUUUAAAAACCACCUAGAUGUGGUGCUCAGGGGCAUGAUUUAGUGGAGGUUGUUAGAUUAGGAUAGUAUGGUUAGGUUGUAGUUGGAUUCGAUGAUCUUUAAGAUCUUUUCCAACCUGAGCAGUUCUUUGAUUCUACCUGCUCCAAGGAGGCAGUUGCAUCGAGUUAGUGCGAGCCACGGAGCCUGUCUACUUGUUUACAGUAAUGGUGAAAAACAUGCCUGUUGCAAGGAUAGAAGGAAAUGUGAGACCUGCAGUUGGCUAUACAUAACAGCAGAGCAAGCUUUUUAGGACUGCUCAGGCUGGAGUUCUGUUUGAUAUUCAGACUUUGCUGCCUCCUAAGAGGGUGAAAACCAUGAAGCUGAAAUUAAAAGAGAUUGUCAAAGUCUCAACCUGAUUUUUUUGGCAAGUCAAAAUUGUCCCUCAAAGAGGGGAGGGGACAGCCUUGCAGCUUGUGUUCUUCUGCUUCUUCCUGUAUUAAAGGGGAGCACCACUGGGAUGUAUUUACUACUUCCUUGAAUGCCUUCAAUAAACAAUAGACAUUUGUGAGGUCUCCCCACUAGGUCUCUUGGAAGGACUUUUUCUUUUUAUUGUUGUUGUUGUUGAUUUUUCUUUUAUUUUCUGUUCUUACCAUCACCCCAUGCCUCUUUUUUUUUCCCCCCCCCUCUGAAAAUUGGAAUUAUCAGUUCAUUUGUUCAUUUUGUUUCUGUUUUUAAAAUUCCUUUCUCUAUACUCUUCUCUUUGGAGGGGAGAGAGCAGGGGAUGUUUUUAGCCUGUGUUCAGGGGAAGGCCAGAACCGAUGCUCAUAUGCGGAUAUUUAGUGAAGAACUGAGGAAGUGUAUGAUAUCCUCCCUGAACCCUUUCCCAAGCUCUUCUAUUUUUGGUUCAUGGGGAGGUAAGAUACCCUGAGCCAGAUGUGCUCUUUAGUAGCCCUUGAUGAUCUAUGUAAUGAGCCUGCCUCGUAUGUAAUCCUUGAAUUGAUAUAAAUUUAGCAUCCACAAUAUCCUGUAUGAGCGUUUUGGGAUUCUGUUGCAAAGUUACACCUUUUUAUGUGAAAUGAAAAGAAUAAACACAAAUUUUGAUCUAAGGUCAAAAGAGUCAUUUAACAAAUGCAUUUUGACUAAGUUCCUUCGCCUGGUAUUUUGGCUCAUUCCUCUCCCUUUCUGUCCUUUCCCUGAUUCCAGCUGGUAUCUGUUCUCUAUGUAAAGCUGUCCUAAGAGCAGUGUUGUAUCGGUCAGAGUGACGGUAAUUCUUCUCUUGGCAGUCAGUGUGUCCCAGAAUUGUUCUGAAAUAUCUCCAAAAAUAGAUCCUGUCCUGUGAUCUAAAGGGAAAACAUUUGAGAUGUUUUAAAUGAAGGAAGGGAGUCUGAAUACAUGACUUUCCUUGGAUCUCUCAGGGAGCUUCACAGCAAGGCUUCUAGCCAAUUUCUAGAUAUGUAUUCCCUUUUUUGAGAAACCUCACGAAUAAAAAUAGUGCUCGACUGCUUUCCCAGGUGUUCCCUGCAUCAGUACAGAUUCUGCUGCAGGAAAAAUAAAGGCUCUCAGAGAAUGUGCUGUAGCCUGUAGGAAAAAAAAAAUAAAUAUAUAUAUGUAUUAUUUCUUCAUAACGUGAAUGAGAAAUAGCUCUGUUUUGAUUUUCUGGUAAUUUUCAGUGAACCCAACUUAGGAGAAGGUGAGAAUGGAAAGUCUGGAGAGCAUCAUAUGACAGUGUUGCACCAAGGUGAAGGACAAAGCAGAGAAAUGUAAUAGAACAUAUAUAAAAUGCAGUCAAUCUUUGUUAAGGGUUGUAAAACUGGAGAGAAAAAAUUAAGACUGUGGUUUGAUCACUGUAUGAGUGAGGACUGAAGUGUAGCUGAUAGAAUGUGGGGGGACUGAACUCAGCAGAACUGAAUGUGUUGCCAGUUUUACAUUCACAAGUUCAAAGUCCUUUAUAUAUAUAGGCAAUAGGAAAAAAAAAAAUGUUGAAAGUACAACGUGGGCUGUGAUGCCUGUAUAUGAUUGUCCCUUCUUACCUGUUCUCUAUGAUAAAGAAUUCUCUGUAUUGCUUUUUCUUCUGUAUGUCCCUUGUUUUUUAUCCCAGCUGGCAAGAUGCAAUAAUUAAGCCAUAUUCUUGUGCUCUUUCUAUGCUUUUUUGCACUUGUUAUCAAUAGAAGUAUUGCCAGGCACCACGAUUCCACAGUGUUUGUACAUGAAAUGCAAAAAUAAACAAGUGUUGUUAAGGUAUUAGUGUGAAGAGAUUGACAACUCCAGUCUUUCAGACACGUGUAAUGGCUUCUGCUAAACCAAAGCACAUGCCUUUGUGGCUUCUCAUGUUAAAUCAGCGCGUGUCUAUUUGACGAACUGCAUGUACAAAUAAGGAAGAAAAUGAAAUUUGUUCGAUGCUUGGCCAAAGUCCUAGAAUGGUAUUUUAAAGCACCCAGAAAACAAGAAGGAGCACAUUUAGUUGGCUGUUUGCCGUAAAAAGUAAAUUGUUAUCAAGUGUUCUUAUUAGCUGAUGCUUAUAAAGCUUUGUUGGCUGGUGUUCCAAUUUCAGAGUUAACAUGCUUCUUGUGGGCUGAUGAUGUGUUGACUGUGUAAGACCUGUUGCUUUAGAGAUGAUUAGCUCAUGACUAAGGAGAAGGAAUUUCACAGAGGGAAAAAAUAUAUAUAUACCUGUUAGAUACAAUGCAAAGUCAAGGCUUAAGUUACUCUUGUCUGAUGCCAGCUCUGUUUUAGCAAAUACUAAGACCAGGCUUGCCAUCCUCAUUCUACACCCACUCACUUGCCGACUUUAGACAAAGGCUGUAACUUACUGUAAUUCCCAAAGAAAAAUCUGCAACUUUCACUAGUCAAAAAAACACCAGCAAAAAAACCCAAACCAAAACAACAAAAGGAGUAGUUCAGUAUUUUGUGAGGUUGCACACACUGAUACCUUAAAAUAGUGAAAACAAGGAACUUACAAAUAAAGAUUAAAUAAGUUUUGCAAAGGUGAGCAGAGAUGUUGACCAGAAUGCUGAAAGGAAUGCUGCAGCCACAUACUGUCUGCCUCCUGAGGCAUCCAUAUUCAAGUUAAGACUUCACUUGCCUCAUCCUGUAGUAUUUGUAACUGCACUUCAGGCUUGAUCCAAGGACAGCACUGACUUACAAAGGAAACGAACCACCAUAUGGUAAAGGAGACUGUUGGGAUUUUCCAGGAGGCAUUUUGAUUUCCUAUCCUGCUGUUAAUCACAUGCUUCAAAGAAGCACUUGAACAUCUGCUAGAGCUACUAGGAUAUGAGUAUCCUGAGUUGGAAGGGACCACAAGGACCAUGGACUUUAACUUCUGGUUCACAAAGCAGCAGUCAGAAUUCAAACCUUAUGUCUGAGCCCUGGGCAGCCACUGCCCUCUGGUGCAGACCCUUUCCCUAACCCCCAGCUGCCCUCCCCUCACACAGCUCCAUGCCGUUCCCUCGGGCCCUAUCGCUCUCAAACAGCAAAGCUGAGCGCUGCCCCUCCGCACCCUGUGAGGAGCUGCAGCCGCCAUCAGGCCUCCCGUCAGCUCCUCUGCUCUACGCUGAGCAAACACAGGGAUUGCAGCCUCUCCACAUAGACGUUUCCUUUCUAGACCCUUUUUGUAGCCCUCCUUUGGACGCUAACAGUUUCAUAUCCUUCUCAUGCUGUGGCACCCAGAGCUGCACACGUGCUUGAGGUGGGGCCACAGAGCGCAGAGCACAGCAGGACAAUCCUUUCGGUCGCCCAGCUGGCAGUGCUGGGUGUGAUGCACCUGUUUCAGCCCUUUUGGCUUCUGGGUCACACUGCUGACUUUUGUUCAACUUCUUAUCAACCAGAAUCCCCAGAUCCCUUCCUGCCGGGUUGCUCUCCAGUCUCUCAUCCCCCAAUUUGUAUAUAUAUAUAUAUAUCCAGGGUUGCCCCAUCCAUCCCAUGUACAGAAUCCAGCACUUGCUCUUGUUGAACUUCAUGUAGUUGGCAAUUGCCCAGCCCUCCCAUUUUCAAGAUCUCCCUGCCUCUGUCAAGGCCUCUCCAGCCUCAAGGGGCCAACAGCUGUUAAUGUAGCAUUAUCUGCAAACUUAGUGUGCAUUCAAAUUCUGCAUCCAGAUCAUUGAUGAAAACACUAAAGAGAACUGGCUCUAGAAUUUACAGUAGUAAUUAUUUUUUACAAGAUAUAGCACAGGGAUUCCCAAAGGAUGUGCUGCCCCAGCAGGCUGUGUGCUUUGUCUGCCCUCAGCAACUGAUCUUGCUCCUAGCAGAGCUAACCAGUCCCAGGGAACUGGGAACUCAUACAGCCUACAAACUAGAGGAGAAAACUGGAAGAUAGCCACGUGCUGCUACUUCUAGUCCACACAACAAGAAGUUUUCUAAUCUAAUCUAAUAUCAAAAGGAACGUCAGGAAAACAGUGAUUUCCAUUUGAGUCAAUUUACUGGUUUCUCUUUGCCCCCGGACUGGCGCCUGUAAUCCUGUUCCUAAGUUCACGCUGUUUGCUACCAUGGUGCUGAAUCAUUUCUCUCAUGUACAAGGAUAUCCAAAAAUGACAGCGGAGUUUGAAAAAUUAAGUGAGCACACCAAAAUAGGAGCUUGGGCACACAAGCCAUAGCAAUUGCAGAUUAACUGCUGCUAUCUAAAAUGUCCUUGCCUCUGCUUUCAUUGUUACUCACACGUUAUUUGGACUUAGACUGUCUUAAUGCCUUCAGUGUAGUAAGAGCUACUCAUUGCCUUUUGAAACACCGCAGGAAUGCAUCAGAUAAUACUUCAGUAACAUUACUAACAAGAAAAGGCCGUGGACAUGAGAAAUAUUUUACAAGAUUUCAAGUAUUUUCCAGCUUUCAGAACAAAUGUAAUGGGUAGGAUACUAAAGCAUAGUGUCACUAAAGGCCUGUUCCAGGACGGGGCCCAUUUCAUUCUUUAACAUACACCAGUGAUCCUAGAAACGAGAAUGCUAUCUAAAGAUAGUUCUUAGAUCAGUAAUGAAACAGAUCCUUACCUCCCUGUGUAAGUAUACUACCUCUGUGACAUCAGUCUGUUGCUAAGCUAGUCUUUUCAGCUGACUUCGUUUUGGGAAUGCUUGUUAUGUGAUGACUGUGCUAAUACAUACCUUACUUAGAAGCAUAAUAAAAGAACAGAAACAAGCAUAUCCUGAGCGGUCAAAAUGCUGCAUAUUACAGUAUCUCAGCAACAGAGAGGAGGAAAAGCAAGCACAGGCAGCUCCAACACACACAGAGUCCUUUUUGGCUUUUUCUCAUGCAGCUAUCAGUCCUUAACUUCCGUUUGACCCUUGUGGAUAUAGCCUUAGAGCAGUAUAAACAGACCACGUAAGAAAUCACUGCUUUUCAGUAGUGCUUCACAGGGUACCAUAUAUUAGAUUUGAGACUAUUAAUUCUGUGCAUCAGCCUAAGAAAAUAAUUUUUCAUCAUCAGCUUAGUCUGGCAUAGAGGUUGGAAACACAUUAUAUAUGAGCCACAAUGGAGAAAUGACUAGAUUCCAAGAUUUUGACUGCAAAAUGUUAAGUUUAAGUCAUCAGAGUCUUAAGCUACUUCAACGACCAAAGUUAUUUUUAUUUUUGGAAGCGGAUUAUUGAUGACACAUCCCUCCAGCCCUAGGCAUGCAACCUCAGCUGUCUCAACAUUCCUUGCUGCCUAACUACAAAAUGCAUCUGAUGCUCUUAUAUGGUCUCUUGGCUGGAUUUAUUCAUGGCCUCCCAGUGGUUAAGAAUUUUGCACCCAGUUGCAAGUUGACUGGUCUCCUAUAGUACAACAAGAAUUGUAGGGAAAUGUGGCUGUGGAUGGUCAGCAGUAGCUGUACAUGAAAAUGCUUGGAAAUUCUCCCUCAAUAACAUGUCUUCCUAAGCAAGUAUUCUCACAAUACAUUUUCCUGUGGCCACCCCCAUCAGAGAAACCGGCCAACAGCACAACACCCACACACUGCAACAAGGAACUAAACAGCUUCGCUCUCCUGUUAGCCUGGCUCUUGAGAAAUUAACAGCAGCAGACUUAAGGUUAACAACUUCCUCUCAAGGAGGAUACAAGGUUCCCUUUUACAUAGAUUUUAUUUAGAAUUGUAAAAUCACUAUUUCAAAACUUAUUUCCAGCAGAAAAAUUCAAGUGGUUUGUUUGCUGCUUACUGAGCCCAGCAUACCAACACCUAAAAUUUACUAAGAUGAUGAGAUGAGGAAAAUAAUGGCUCAGAGACUUGCUGUUUCUAAUAGAAGAGAAAACAUCUUCCAAAUCUUAAACCAUUUGGCCAGAGUUAAAAAAAAAAACAAAACCAACAACAAACGCCAACAAAAUGAAGGUAUAUCCUUAAUGCAGGCUUCUGUACAUACACAUAAUAUUGAAAGACAAGAUUGGACCAAAGUGACAGCCUAACUGCUCCUCAGUUUAAUAUUAUAUAGCAACAUUUCAACAAUACAAUGUUUCCUUCAUCUCAAAACUUCCUCUGUGACAGCAGCAUUGCAGGUGAAAAUUCUGACACAAAACUGCCUCUGAAUAAAAGAAAACUGAAAAUAAGUCAGUUUCGGUAGACUCAUUCAGGCAUUCCACGGAGAAACACCAUAGCAACCAUACUCAAGAGGAAGGAAAUAGUAUAAAGACAAUCUUUUGAGGAAAAGAGCAGCUGUGGCACUCUAAGGUAGUAUAGUGAAGCACAUGGUCUGGGUAGGAGGAAGAAACAAACUGAGGCAAAGUGACAGGUAGAUAAAAUGGAAAUAGGAAAGCAGUAGUUACAAACCAAUUAUAAUUAAGCACAGAAGUGGAAGAAACCACCCAGGAAUGAACAUCAAAGUAUUUUCACUGAACGUACUUUGUAAUACUGACUUAUUUAGUUAGGAAUACUAACAGAGCCAGAGCAUUUUCAAGAACUGCCACCAUCCCAAUACAAACCAGAGCAGAAGGCAAGCCUUUCAUACCACAAGGGAAACUGGACAAACAUUUGCACCCUGGGGCAUUUCAUGCUGGCCCAGCCUUUACAAGCCCCUAAGCUAAAGUUCCUAUUCUUUUGGGUCAUUUAAAUAAUGUGAAACAGCUCAGGGAAUAGUUUCUUUGAUAAGAGGUCUUAACUUCAAUUGGUAAAUAUGUUGGCAAGACAAAUUCCCCUUCCACCUUUUAGCUUGAAGUUGCCAAGAAAAAAAGAGACAAAUGAAAGGAUGUGGUCAUUUGGAGACCUGAGAGAAUGAACUCCGUUUUCUCGGUAUUGAAGUCAGCUGUUUCUGUUUGAAUGAAUCUUGCUUGCCUGAAAGCCAUUUUAUCAGUAUCAAGGUAAAUGAAGAAAAUUUAUGAUCAUUUAAGAAGUGAAAGGGCUUUAUCUUGGAUAUGGUUUUGCCAAGUUAAUUCUCAGCACUGUCAUUCUCAAAGGCAUUAAUCUGCAGAACAAUAAGGCUUUAUGUAGGUUUUCUGGACAAGCACUGCUGUUUACUACUGCCAGCACAGGCACUGCCUCAUUGAUUUCCUAGGAAUCCUAAGGAAUAGGAUCCUAGGAAUCCCAAGUGCUCUCUGCUGGCUAUUAGGCAAUUGUAACAGUCUUCCCUAAACACAUCUUUGAUUAACUACUCACAUCAGUCAGAUCCACUAUAAAAACCUGAGAUAACAUUUAAACAGCUGAAUUUUCAAAUAUCAGCAUAUAUACUGCUGCACACAUCUCAUAAUUAUGCAACGACAGCAAAUCUGUCAGGUUUUCCAGCUCGAUUUGCAACUGCAAAUAAAAUAUGAUUAACACACUUGCAUUUGUAAAUGCAUAAUAGAAAUUUCUCUCUUGACAAAAGAAUGAGGUGUUUUUUUGUUUUUUUGUUUAAU